CCUACGGGAGGCAGCAGUAGGGAAUAUUGCUCAAUGGGGGAAACCCUGAAGCAGCCACGCCGCGUGGAGGAUGAAGGCUUUCGGAUUGUAAACUCUUUUUGUUAGAGAAGAUAAUGACGGUAUCGAACGUAUAAGCACCGGCCAACUACGUGCCAGCACCCGCGGUAAUACGGAGGGUGCCAGCGUUACUCGGAAGCACUGGGCGUAAAGAGCGCGUAGGCGGGAUAGAAAGUCAGAUGUGAAAUCCUAUGGGUUAACCAUAGAACUGCAGUUGAAACUGUUAUUCUUGAGUAUGGGAGUGGUAGGCGGAAGUCGUGGUGUAGAGGUGAAAUCCGUAGAGAUCAAGAAGAAUACUCAGUGCGAAGGCGGCCUACUGGAGCAUAACUGACGCUGAUGCGCGAAAGCGUGGGGAGCAAACAGGAUUAGAUACCCUAGUAGUC
rnacentral:rRNA from 1 species